GACGAACGCUGGCGGCGUGCCUAAUACAUGCAAGUAGAACGCUGAAGCGAGGAGCUUGCUCUUCUUGGAUGAGUUGCGCACGGGUGAGUAACGCGUAGGUAACCUGCCUUGUAGCGGGGGAUAACUAUUGGAAACGAUAGCUAAUACCGCAUAACAAUGGAUGACCCAUGUCAUUUAUUUGAAAGGGGCAAAUGCUCCACUACAAGAUGGACCUGCGUUGUAUUAGCUAGUAGGUGAGGUAACGGCUCACCUAGGCGACGAUACAUAGCCGACCUGAGAGGGUGGUCGGCCACACUGGGACUGGGACACGGCCCAGGCUCCCACGGGAGGCAGCAGGAGGGAAUCUUCGGCAAUGGGGGCAACCCUGACCGAGCAACGCCGCGGGAGGGAAGAAGGUUUUCGGAUCGUAAAGCUCUGUUGUAAGUCAAGAACGAGUGGGAGAGUGGAAAGUUCACACUGUGACGGUAGCUUACCAGAAAGGGACGGCUAACUACGUG
rnacentral:rRNA from 1 species